GACGAACGCUGGCGGCGUGCUUAACACAUGCAAGUCGAACGGAAAGGCCCUGCUUUUGUGGGGUCCGCUGCGGGCGACCGGGUAACUAACCCGUAGGUACCCUACCCUUCCCUUUGGGAUAACUUAAGGAAACUGGGUCUAUUCCGGGAAAGGAUCUCUUGCUGCUGGGUGGGGGUUGGAAGGUUUGGCCGGUUGGGAUUGGACUCGCGGCUCAUCAGCUUGUUGGUGGGGUAGUGGCUUACCAAGGCUUUGACGGGUAGCCGGCCUGGACGGCUGACCGGACACAUUAGGACUGGGAUGAGGCCCAGACUCCUAUGGGAGGCAGGAGUGGGGAAUAGUGUAUAAUGGGAGGAGGGCUGAUGCAGCAACGCCGCGUGCGGGAUGACGGCCUGCGGGUUGUAAACCGCAUUCGCCUGUGACGAAGCGUGAGUGACGGUAAUGGGUAAAGAAGCACCGGCUAACUACGUG
rnacentral:rRNA from 1 species